rnacentral:rRNA from 1 species
GAUGAACGCUGGCGGCGUGCCUAAUACAUGCAAGUCGAGCGAACGGACGAGAAGCUUGCUUUUCUGAUGUUAGCGGCGGACGGGUGAGUAACACGUGGAUAACCUACCUAUAAGACUGGGAUAACUUCGGGAAACCGGAGCUAAUACCGGAUAAUAUUUUGAACCGCAUGGUUCAAAAGUGAAAGACGGUCUUGCUGUCACUUAUAGAUGGAUCCGCGCUGCAUUAGCUAGUUGGUAAGGUAACGGCUUACCAAGGCAACGAUGCAUAGCCGACCUGAGAGGGUGAUCGGCCACACUGGAACUGAGACACGGUCCAGACUCCUACGGGAGGCAGCAGUAGGGAAUCUUCCGCAAUGGGCGAAAGCCUGACGGAGCAACGCCGCGUGAGUGAUGAAGGUCUUCGGAUCGUAAAACUCUGUUAUUAGGGAAGAACAUAUGUGUAAGUAACUGUGCACAUCUUGACGGUAGCUAAUCAGAAAGCCACGGCUAACUACGUG